AAAGCGCCCUUAUUUUUUCUGUUAGACUCUGCUUUCUGUGUUUCUUAAAUUUCUUUCUCGAGUACUCAUGAUUAUAUGUAGCUUGUUUUCAUGUUGACUUCAAUUAGUGUAAUAAAUGCUUAUUAUAUAUCAUAUCGCAUCUUAUUUGUAUUAUUUACUGAAUCUUCUAACAAGAUUUUGAACCUAGAAACAAUAUAAGUAAAUGAUAUACAUUAAUUUAAAACUAACCUCUAAACAUAAAUUUAACUGAGAAUACUCAAUAUAUCAAGAAUCUAAACGAAUCAAAUCAUGAAUAAAGGAAUUUUAAAAAUGGAAAAACUGAUUUAUAAUGAUCUGAUGAAAUUAUAAUUCAAGAUGAAGAAACCAAUUUGAAUUAACAAAAUUGCUCAACCGUUACAUUGCUCUGAUAUAUUGUUUAUAGAAAUCUUUUACAGAAGUCUGCUUCAAAAAUCUCUUACAUUAUUCAAACAAAUAAUAAGUUGAUCCAGUAAUGUAUUUCUCUUUAUAAAUUGUUUCAUUUUCCAUUUAUCUUUGCUAAAUUUUUUACUUCUUGAAAUGGAAAUGAAAAUAGCCUGUUACACUUUGAUUUAUGGAGAGAUGUUUAGAAAAAAGGCUCAGAUUAUACAACCCGUUUUUCUUUAGUGGAACAACAGUUGAAAUCUAGAAAAUGAUCAUACUGAACAAAUUAAUUUCCGAUCAUUUUAGAGUACUUUGGAAUGAAAAAAACAAAGCUGAUAGUGUUACCAACCAAAGGAACAGACGAAAGAUUACGUUUAAUAAACAACCAAAUCAUUGAGGUACAGAUCGUAGAAAUUAACGUCUGGGAAAUACUUUUUCUGCGAAAAUAAGGAAAACAGGAAGAAGGAAAUAAAUACGAUAAAGAAAUACUCCAUAGUGUAACAAAUUAGACUAAAGUUAUAUAUCAUAUGUCUAUUUGUUCAUAUAAAUUCUGAUGUAUGUUGUCACUUUUAAUUACGUAUAGUAAGCCUUCAGAAUAACGCCAUUUCUUAAUAUUCGUUCGAAGCUCCAUGACAUAUAUGGAUCAAGUAUUCAUCAGUUAAUUGAAGAUCUUGUAUCAAUGCCUGAUAUCAAAAAAUUCAUGACAUUAAUGCAUGCACAGAUUAAAAAAGAGAAAGACUCAAGAGAUUAGAUCACAUAAAAUGAUACUGAAUAAUGUAACGGUUGUAAGCUAUGAGAGCAGCGUAAAUAUAAUCAAUUGUAUGCGUUAGAUUAAUAGAAAUCGUGGAGAAGAUAUAUUCUGGAAAAAAUACUUUACUACAAAUGAUACUUCAAGAGAAUAUUUGCUUCUUUAAUCAGACAGAACGUAAUCUUUGAUCGUAGCAUGAAUAAUUCUUAUUGCAAGCAAAUUAUUUAGGCCUGCUAAUUGAAUGAGAAUAUUGUUUUAUUUUUUUAUAAUGAUACAACGUUAGAAGAGAGAUAGGUUUGAGCAGUGACCAAUGUGCUCUUAUCAAUUUCACUAGAGCUGUCUAUGCUAAUGUGGAUCUUUAUCUAUUGUUGGAAAUUCUUCUUCUUGUUCAUAAGUUUUAAUUUUGCAUUGCUAAAGACAAACCUCAUCUAAUGCUUUCCAAUUCUGUGAUAGAUUUAUUUAAUUGCUGUCUGCUGUUAAUUUAGUAUCAUCUUUCUAUCUUUUCUGGAAUCAUUCAACAUUUCUUCUUUUCUUCCAUCAUAUCUAUUUGAAAUUUUAAGCAUUGCAUAUACGGAUAUCUGAAAAAUAAAACUAAAAUUUUAGCUUUAUUUUUAACGCAUUAGUUGCAGUUUCUAUAGUGUACAGGUCAAAUGAUCGCAUGGCUUAGUUUAGAGCGGUGUACGAAAGUCUGAAUUUUAAUAGUCUCCAAGCUUCCAGUAUUGACUUCAUCAAAUUUAUGAUAGAGAAAAUGGAACUCGAGAAGAAUGAAGAAUCCACAUAUGGAGGGGAGAUCGAAGAUUUGAAAGGCAUGGUAAUUAAAAAUAUAAAUGGAUCAUCUACGAAAACAUUGGUACUUGUUGAUAUGGUAAAAGUCAUAGGUCUAUUAAGCCUUACAUCUUUUAUUUCAAGACGAGUAGGAGUGUUUUGUUGCUAUUGAUGGUUAUACUCUUAGUUUUUUUACGAAUAGCUAUCAGUAGUGCCAACAUCGAGGAAACAUAAAUUUGACCUCUAUUUGCAUGGAAAGGAUCGUUGGAUUACAUAAAAAUAAUUUAUGUCUGUAGCUUUAAAACAACGGUUUUUAUAAAUGUUUUCUUACUAUAGAGUUUGAUUACACGCUUCCAGAAAACUGCAUGCCAGCAUAUUUCAUAGAAUUAUAUGCUCAGUCGUAUCUCAGACAGGUAAAUUUAUUGAAUAUUCUUUUUCAACGUCAAUAAAUUUUUAGUCUUCUUUUAAAUUUUCCAAAAAUACUGGUGUCCUUGAUAUAGCAUGUCUUAUUUUAUAAUUCUUAGUAUUGGACUGAUAACGAUAAUAAUAAUAGGAAGGAUAAACUCAUUGGCUUCUUCUAGAUUUUUAUAUCAAUUAUAAAGUUAAACAAUUGAAAGAAAUAAGUAGAUUAGUGUAAUGCUAAUAUUUAAGUUCUCUCAUUAAUUGAUUAUCUUCUUAUUUCCAAAAACUUAAUCACCCGUAUCAGAUUAACGCAGCGCUUCAAAAUUUACCAACAAUUAGAGCAUUAAACACUAAAAAAGUUUUCAUCAAUGAAUUCGAAAACUUUCAAGAGAUCUGCUUGCUCCAUUUUCAUUGCUGUGUUUCAUGUGCUUUCAACAUUUACAUCAAAUUAGUCUCUUUGGUUUAUAACUCGAUCAUAAUCGUAUUCCUUCUCUUGAAAAACAUAGUAAUCAAUGAUAUUGGAUUAUUGAUCACGUAAAUGAUUAUACUUGUGAACAUGAUACGGAAAGAUGUGAAACAGACGAUCAAAGUAAUAUAUCUGAUUUCAAUCUUGAUCAAAGGAAUUCUUGAGUAUAAUCAUUUACAGGAAAAACUAAUGUUGAAUAGUGAUCUAAAAUACAAAACAGUAAAAUAUUGACCAAAGUACGGCUUUGUCAAAUUUAAAAGCAUGAGGAAAAAGUACAAAACUAUACAUUUUAAAGGUUAGUUUAAACUGAUUUUAAAUUGAAAUUAAAACUAUUUAUUACCCUCGAUUUUAUAAUGAUUUACACCAUCAAUAAGCACAAGCACAAUUUUUGUCCAAUUUUAAUGAACAAGGUCUCGUUUUAAAAACGAAGAUUUAAUUUAUCGCGUAUUGUUUUCGAAUUUUUCGGAAAAUACAAAUAAAAAUAAAAAUUUUUUAACAAGA